rnacentral:rRNA from 1 species
UACGAAGGGGGCUAGCGUUGCUCGGAAUCACUGGGCGUAAAGGGUGCGUAGGCGGCUUUGCAAGUUAGAGGUGAAAGCCCGGGGCUCAACUCCGGAAUUGCCUUUAAAACUGCAUCGCUAGAAUUGUGGAGAGGUAAGUGGAAUUCCGAGUGUAGAGGUGAAAUUCGUAGAUAUUCGGAAGAACACCAGUGGCGAAGGCGACUUACUGGACACAUAUUGACGCUGAGGUGCGAAAGCGUGGGGAGCAAACAGG